ensembl:snoRNA
CUGGCCCUGAAUCAAGGCUGGCAGCUUCCUGACGCUCCUGUUCAAACAGGAGCCUAGAGAGAUGUUUUUCUAUGGUCUGUUGGCCAUUUCAGAACUUGGGCAGUGUAAUGGUCAAUUCCUUAGAAAGAAACAGCU